GAUGAACGCUGGCGGCGUGCCUAAUACAUGCAAGUCGAGCGAACGGACGAGAAGCUUGCUUCUCUGAUGUUAGCGGCGGACGGGUGAGUAACACGUGGAUAACCUACCUAUAAGACUGGGAUAACUUCGGGAAACCGGAGCUAAUACCGGAUAAUAUUUUGAACCGCAUGGUUCAAAAGUGAAAGACGGUCUUGCUGUCACUUAUAGAUGGAUCCGCGCUGCAUUAGCUAGUUGGUAAGGUAACGGCUUACCAAGGCAACGAUGCAUAGCCGACCUGAGAGGGUGAUCGGCCACACUGGAACUGAGACACGGUCCAGACUCCUACGGGAGGCAGCAGUAGGGAAUCUUCCGCAAUGGGCGAAAGCCUGACGGAGCAACGCCGCGUGAGUGAUGAAGGUCUUCGGAUCGUAAAACUCUGUUAUUAGGGAAGAACAUAUGUGUAAGUAACUGUGCACAUCUUGACGGUACCUAAUCAGAAAGCCACGGCUAACUACGUGCCAGCAGCCGCGGUAUACGUAGGUGGCAGCGUUAUCCGGAUUUAUGGGCGUAAGCGCGCGUAGCGGUUUUUUAGUCUGAUGUGAAAGCCCACGGCUCAACCGUGGAGGGUCAUUGGAAACUGGAAAACUUGAGUGCAGAAGAGGAAAGUGGAAUUCCAUGUGUAGCGGUGAAAUGCGCAGAGAUAUGGAGGAACACCAGUGGCGAAGGCGACUUUCUGGUCUGUAACUGACGCUGAUGUGCGAAAGCGUGGGGAUCAAACAGGAUUAGAUACCCUGGUAGUCCACGCCGUAAACGAUGAGUGCUAAGUGUUAGGGGGUUUCCGCCCCUUAGUGCUGCAGCUAACGCAUUAAGCACUCCGCCUGGGGAGUACGACCGCAAGGUUGAAACUCAAAGGAAUUGACGGGGACCCGCACAAGCGGUGGAGCAUGUGGUUUAAUUCGAAGCAACGCGAAGAACCUUACCAAAUCUUGACAUCCUUUGACAACUCUAGAGAUAGAGCCUUCCCCUUCGGGGGACAAAGUGACAGGUGGUGCAUGGUUGUCGUCAGCUCGUGUCGUGAGAUGUUGGGUUAAGUCCCGCAACGAGCGCAACCCUUAAGCUUAGUUGCCAUCAUUAAGUUGGGCACUCUAAGUUGACUGCCGGUGACAAACCGGAGGAAGGUGGGGAUGACGUCAAAUCAUCAUGCCCCUUAUGAUUUGGGCUACACACGUGCUACAAUGGACAAUACAAAGGGCAGCGAAACCGCGAGGUCAAGCAAAUCCCAUAAAGUUGUUCUCAGUUCGGAUUGUAGUCUGCAACUCGACUACAUGAAGCUGGAAUCGCUAGUAAUCGUAGAUCAGCAUGCUACGGUGAAUACGUUCCCGGGUCU
rnacentral:rRNA from 1 species